rnacentral:lncRNA from 1 species
CCAAAGCCUUGGUUAUUUGCAUCAUCAGAAAAGUUAAUGUACUUAGUGUAGUCGUCAGAAAGAACGUUGGAAGAAUCACCAGCAUUAUCAACCAUUUCCGUACGAGCUCUCUUGCCGCCCCGCUGCGAUCCGGAUCCUGCAAACAAGCCCGACAAACUUUCUCCGUCUGGUUCGCCUGAAAAAGGAAAAAUUAACAAAGUCAAAUGUAAAUUACCAGAGGGGACGAGAUGCGGGUGAACAGAUUUCCAAGUCCCGGCCAUCAAACUAGAAUAAUCGAUAGGAUUCGAACGGACAGAUAGAAGGCGGGAGUACACAUCAUGUUCCUCCAGAGAAAGUUCCCCUACGGAAAGGUUCCCAGCUUCGAAGGAGGAAGUGUUUACCCACUUAGAAGGAACCCCUGACAAUCCUACGGAAAGGCUCUUUACAAAGAAAUAGCGGCUCUUCCACCGAUGCGAACGAUCGGGAUAAGAAUCGAGGAGUUUAUGUCAUAUUCUAGAAGAAACCAAAAGCCGUGCGGAAUUGGGCCGAGAGAUAGAGAAAAAUAGACGGAAAACACGCUCGAAGGGCUUCAAAUCCAGUUCAUAGCACAAAUGUUCGAACGAAACAACACGAUCGAGACUAGAGGGAGAAAGUUGAGAAAUAGCAACACCAGUAUACGAAAGAAAAGACAAGAGGAAGGGAGAGGCGGGAAGCCGAAGCCCUAAGUCCUCAAAACCCGAAUAGAGGGCAGUAUAGCCAUCAGGAGGCGAAGAGGCAGAAGCAUCAUUGGGGAUUUCAAGAUGAGCUAUCGCUACAGAGGGAGCGAUCACCUGGAAAUGACGGUGGGCUUGCCGCCGACUAAGUACGGAG